rnacentral:rRNA from 1 species
CCUACGGGAGGCAGCAGUGGGGAAUAUUGGACAAUGGGCGAAAGCCUGAUCCAGCAAUGCCGCGUGAGUGAUGAAGGCCUUAGGGUUGUAAAGCUCUUUUACCAGGGAUGAUAAUGACAGUACCUGGAGAAUAAGCUCCGGCUAACUCCGUGCCAGCAGCCGCGGUAAUACGGAGGGAGCUAGCGUUGUUCGGAAUUACUGGGCGUAAAGCGUGCGUAGGCGGUGAUUCAAGUCAGAGGUGAAAGCCUGGAGCUCAACUCCAGAACGGCCUUUGAAACUAGAUCGCUAGAAUUAUGGAGAGGUAAGUGGAAUUCCGAGUGUAGAGGUGAAAUUCGUAGAUAUUCGGAAGAACACCAGUGGCGAAGGCGACUUACUGGACAUAUAUUGACGCUGAGGUACGAAAGCGUGGGGAGCAAACAGGAUUAGAUACCCUGGUAGUCCACGCCGUAAACGAUGAUAACUAGCUGUUCGGGCUCUCAGAGCUUGAGUGGCGCAGCUAACGCAUUAAGUUAUCCGCCUGGGGAGUACGGUCGCAAGAUUAAAACUCAAAAGAGUAAGUUAGACGUGUAGAGUACGCGACGAGGACACGACGGAGGUUAGAGG